UUUUGGUUAUUCAAUUUUAACUUAUGAUGUGUGAUAAUGUUUAAUGUUAUUUUAUUUGGUUAUUAUCAUUUCUAUUAUUUGAUAUUUUCAUAAAUCUGAUAUCUCUGAGUGUGGCCCAGGACUCACCUUAAGAUCACAGUUGUAAGAGGUGAGAAAUAAACAACAACAAUCUUGAAGACAUGACAAGUUUAAGAUGUUUUCUACUUACCUUUUGACUGGCAUUAUAUACAUAAUCUUUACGGCAAAAGUGAGAAGCAAAGAUGAUGUGAAACUAAAAGGCCAUCUUCAUCAUUCAAGUUGGAGCUAUUUUUGGAAUAGCAUUUUACAAAGGUUUUGUCAAGUUUAUUCAAGUCAACUUGAAAUAAGGAGGGGAAAGUGGGUGGGAAGGAGUAACAUCAAGUGAAAAACGAUGAUAAUGCUGAUUACUAUUUUCGUUUUUCUCUUACUCUUAUAUAUAUCUGAAUAUUAUUACUUACAAAACGAUUUUACAACAUUGUUAGGUAAUUGAAAUCAUCAAAAAGUAAUCGUUGGGACACACGCAUCAAUUAUAUUGCCAUCAGUUUCAGACUAAAUUUUAAGUCUAUUAUUAUUAUCAUUGACGACCUUACCUCUCAUCAUCAUCAUCAUCAUCAUCAUCAUCAUCUGUAUUUACUCAGCAUCCCUUUUCUCACUUAGCAUCUUGGUCUUGAUCAUCAUCUUACUUGCUCUACUCGCCAGGAAACCAGAUCGAGAUGAGGAACCGUUGAUAAUUUCAAAAUUAUGGUUUCAAUUUUAACAUUUUGCUUCUUCUUCUUCUUUCAUCAUCAUCUUCUUCUCUGCUCAUUUCCUUUAGCAUUAUCUUCAUCAUCACCAUACUUAAGACAAACACAGAAAAAAAAUGAUGAGAAAAAGAAAGAAAUGCGAAAAUUUGUCUUGUUUGUCUUAAAUUUGCCGUUCAAAUGUAAGACCAGAAGCAUUUGUUUGGUUCACUGGGUAAACUCAAUUAUUAUCAUUUGGUGAUGAUUAUUGUUAUUAACUGAUUGUUGCGAUAUUGAUUAUCCAUCUAGUUGAUUACAAGGUUGCUGAGGGAGGGAGAGAAAGUUGUUGAUUUGGUGUUAACUACAUUUGUUAUGAGCAUUCAUUCCAAUAUUUUUCUUACAAAUUUUAGCGUAAAAUUUUUUCCUUCUUCUUCUCAUCUUAUUUUUUCUUCUUUUUACAGUAUCAUCGAUAAAAUUUGAAUGCUGAUGACGAUGUUGAUGGUGAUGAUUAAAAGUGGAUAACACUCGUAACGAAACCGUAAACAGUUUAGUUACUAAUUGUAGUCCCUUUCGAGGGAUCAAACUAAAGGUUGACAUCAACAAUUUUGAAUCAUUGAGGGAAAAACUUUCCUUAACAAACCGCUGAAUGAAACUAACCGAUUUCAACGAUUGAAGUAAAUAUUUUUCUUCAAUGAUAGAGAAUCUAUUAAGCCUUAAUCCAGUAUAAUUUUCAUAAUUUUCAUGAUUCAAAUACAUUACAAGUUAACAAUUCAAAUAGAUCAACUUUUUACCAAUCUUAUUGGUUAACCAUAAAUUUUGAUCAGAAUAAUUUGUUUGGUUGUAAUUCAAAAUCAAAUGAAUGCAAUUUCAAAUCUUCAGAAGCGCAAUUUUCGUUUUCAAUGUUUACAACCUCGCAACACCCAAUGAGGAUGAUUAAGAUGAUGGCGGAGUUAUUGUUGGACCAAAUUGUCACCAAAUUGUCUUCUUAUUACCUGUUGUUUUUACCUUUCUCAUCCUAUUGAAGACUUUUUUCACCAAAAAAUGCAAUUUAAAAUUGAAUAUCUUUACACCACGUAACUGAGCUAGGAACUGGUUUACUUGCUAUCAACUAUCAGUUAACAAUCUUGCGAUCACUGGAGAUGAUUAAGCUAGGAUAAUACUAACUAGUUUUUAGCUGUUAUAAAGAUGAUUAUUUAUCUAUUAUAUUGGAAAUUUUUCGAUUCAAUAUUUUCAUUCCCAGUGAUUGGAGUCAAAUUGUUUGGUUAACUGGUGCCAUUUAUCAAUUUCACAGUUAUUUUUGCAAGUAACAGUUUAACCCUGUUCAUUUCAUUCACUAUAAGCUGUUUUUUGUACAAAACAAAAUCCUAUUUGUCUACUGAUAUUUUAACAAUAAUGAUGAUGAGGAUAAUAAUAUGAUUACAUCAGGGUCAAGUAAAAGUUACAACAUUACUAGGCUGGUUGUUUGGAGGAGGCCAAUUUAGUAACAUUAACACUCUCGUAAUUAGCUGACUAUGAAUGCGUUUUUUCGGUUUGCGUUUUUCUUACCAGUCAGUUUCAUCCUCUCCAAUCAAGAGGUAAAUCACGAAACGAAAACUAAUUAAAGUUAGAUCUUAAUUAACUCUAAGGAUGGAAUCAUGUGCAAAUGAUAUUUAUACACAAUCUGAGCAGACUUUAUUACAAAUGGAAACCAGGAUUUGGAUUACAUUUACUACUUCAGUACAAUGUGAAUCAAAUAUGAAAAAGGAAAACACAAUCUUGCAGCUUUUCAAUUACAAUUCCUGCAUCUGUAGAGAUAUUCAAAUCAAGUUCAUACUGAAACUGCAUUUUGUUGACUUGAGUAGGAUCGACAUUAUAAUCAGUGUCAGAUGAAACUGACGGAAAAAAUUGAAUCAAUAAAGUGUUAUUCACUUUGAUCAGUCGAUUUUAA